rnacentral:rRNA from 1 species
CGAAAGGAAGCUAAUACCGCAUACCCCUCGGGGAAAGCAGGGGAUCUUCGGACCUUGCGCUAAUAGAUGAGCCUAAGUCGGAUUACUAGUUGGGGGAAAGGCCUACCAAGGCGACGAUCUGUAGCGGGUCUGAGAGGAUGAUCCGCCACACUGGGACUGAGACCGGCCCAGACUCCUACGGGAGGCACAGGGGGAAUAUUGGACAAUGGGGACCUGAUCCACCUGCCGCGUGUGUGAAGAAGGCCUUUUGGUUGUAAAGCACUUUAAGCGAGGAGGAGGCUCCUUUAUUAAUACCUAAAGAGAGUGGACGUUACUCCAAAAUAAGCACCGGCUAACUCUGUGCCACAGCCGCGGUAAUACAGAGGGUGCGAGCGUUAAUCGGAUUUACUGGGCGUAAAGCGUGCGUAGGCGGCUUUUUAAGUCGGAUGUGAAAUCCCUGAGCUUAACUUAGGAAUUGCAUUCGAUACUGGAAAGCUAGAGUAUGGGAGAGGAUGGUAGAAUUCCAGGUGUAGCGGUGAAAUGCGUAGAGAUCUGGAGGAAUACCGAUGGCGAAGGCAGCCAUCUGGCCUAAUACUGACGCUGAGGUACGAAAGCAUGGGGAGCAAACAGGAUUAGAUACCCUGGUAGUCCAUGCCGUAAACGAUGUCUACUAGCCGUUGGGGCCUUUGAGGCUUUAGUGGCGCAGCUAACGCGAUAAGUAGACCGCCUGGGGAGUACGGUCGCAAGACUAAAACUCAAAUGAAUUGACGGGGGCCCGCACAAGCGGUGGAGCAUGUGGUUUAAUUCGAUGCAACGCGAAGAACCUUACCUGGCCUUGACAUACUAAGAACUUUCCAGAGAUGGAUUGGUGCCUUCGGGAACUUAGAUACAGGUGCUGCAUGGCUGUCGUCAGCUCGUGUCGUGAGAUGUUGGGUUAAGUCCCGCAACGAGCGCAACCCUUUUCCUUAUUUGCCACGGGUAAUGCCGGGAACUUUAAGGAUACUGCCAGUGACAAACUGGAGGAAGGCGGGGACGACGUCAAGUCAUCAUGGCCCUUACGGCCAGGGCUACACACGUGUACAAUGGUCGGUACAAAGGGUUGCUACCUCGCGAGAGGAUGCUAAUCUCAAAAAGCCGAUCGUAGUCCGGAUCGCAGUCU